rnacentral:rRNA from 1 species
UACGAAGGUCCCAAGCGUUAUCCGGAUUUAUUGGGUUUAAAGGGUGCGUAGGCGGGUUAUUAAGUCAGUGGUGAAAGCCUACAGCUUAACUGUAGAACUGCCAUUGAUACUGAUGAUCUUGAGUAUGAUUGAGGUUGGCGGAAUGUGUCAUGUAGCGGUGAAAUGCUUAGAUAUGACACAGAACACCGAUUGCGAAGGCAGCUAACUAAGUCAUAACUGACGCUGAUGCACGAAAGCGUGGGGAGCAAACAGG